rnacentral:misc_RNA from 1 species
CAAUUGAUAUUGCUGUUGUCAUCUGCCACAUAAAUCUCAUCAAAAUGCGGAUAUUGCACAAUCAACGCCACAACUAAUCAUAAUUAAGAAGAAGCAGGUAAUAAAUUUGAGCGAUCAUAAUAAUCAAGGAUGAAAACAUCUUUGAUCCUACCAUAGAAUUUAAAUAUAAAAACUUAACUGAAAAUAAUUAAUUAUCUGCACAAAUAAGACAUGAAAUUAAGAGAGUAAAAGGGCACAGAUUUGCCAUUACUAAGUCCUUUGAGGGAUUAUUUUGGUUCAGACUACAAACAAGGCAUAAAAUAAUUGUUGAUUUGUUGUUUGUUGUUUAAUAUGAUUUGAAAAACCAAGAAAACCAAUGUAACUGAAUACAUUAGUCACUUUGGCGAUCUUCGGUUCCACAUAUAAAUUUGGUUCACCUGGACAAUAGUAGAAAAUUGAUUAUUUCGGUUCAAUCCGAAAAUGAUCAACUAACCAGCCGAUUGCUCAACCCCAUAUCUUUUGACAUUUAUGAUACCCAAAUGUUAAUGCCCUGAAUGUGCUUUGCUAUAGAUUCUUAGAAACUUCUUCCAUGAUGCUACUCGCCCGACAUUACACCCAACAGACGAGUUGCUCGCCUACCUGGGCGACCCAUCCGAACAUGAGUCAAUUGCCGGGCGACCCACUUGGACAUAGAAAACCUUUCCCCUUGCCCUUACAUGAUUUCGGAUACUCACACGUCCAACAAGGACUCUACCAACAGAUAUCCCAGAUAUCCGGGGACCAAGUCCUAUCCUAACUCAAACUCCUAAUCCAAGUGGGAGUCCAACCGAUGCCUAUAUAUAUAUAUGGGACCAAUGACCUGAUGUUCUCGUUGUUGUUUUGCAAAUCCAUACCUGUGGAGAUUCCUCAGCUAGUAUCAUUCCAAUUCUUAAAAGUUCAUUUUAUACCUUCUCAAAAUUUUCAUAUUUUACAUUUGUGUCGUUUUUCCUAAACAAAUGAUGAUCCCAUCAAUAGAAACACUGGAUUAAAAAUUACUUUCCCCCAAAUAUCAUCUUGCAUUUUUUCACAAAAAAAGUAUUCCAAAAUUUUUGAGAUCUAAUCACUCAAUGAUGCCUUAAAAUAUAAAUCUAGUUAAGACUUGGGAUGCCUUUCCCUAGAAUGCAAAUGCCAUUAAACUCUAUCAAAUCCAUCCCUUCUUUCUAGAAUCAUCCUUAUUGUAAAGUUUCAUCAUUAAUGGCAAUACGAGGCUGGAAAAAAAAUUUUAUUGACCAUAUAAUUAUUACAUGCUGAAACAGUACCUAUUAAAUCAAUAAUCAUCAUCGAAUUUGUAGAAUCCAGAAAAAAGUUAUUAUCAUCAAUGCUUUUCUCUUUACUGAUAAAAGAAUUAGGACCAAGUGAGACUAAUAAAUCAAAGAAUCAAGCAGACCCAUGUUGCCAUUUGUCAUAUAUGCGCACUAGACAUAUAGGUAAAUUGAUACACCUCGAAUGUUUAUGUAAUGAACACAACUAUGCCCUGUAUUAGAGGUGGCCACAGUCCGGUUCGAAUCCGGAACCUUACCGGUCAAACCCAGAUUGAAACUGGUCAAAACCAAAACCAUCAUUAAAUCGAACCUAAACCGUCCCUCCACGGUUUCAUUCAAGUCCAAAAUAUUGUGAAACCGUUGAACUGUCGAUUCAAUUCGGUUUGAAACCGUCGGUUUAGAACCAAAUUGAACCGAUGGUUCAAUUAAAGCCUGCACGCUGCAGGCUGGACUUAGUGCCUAGCUAAGAGCUAGGCACCAGGCCCAGCCACCUAACUCCUGCAUGGUGCACCUAAUUGAAUAACCAUUCCAUUCCAGUGCUCAUUCACAAGUCAUUUCAAUAUUUUAAAAAAAAAUUAUUUAUUUAUAAAUUAUAAGUCUUUCAAACAGUUACCAUUAUUUUUUUCAUUUCAAACGUUAAAAAUUUUAACCGUUACAUUUUUUUAAUUUUAAUUAUAAAAUUACUCUUUGGCCCUCAAUAACAGUAAAAAAAACAGUUAAUUUUGAGAGAUAAUUUUGGAAUUAAAAAAUUUAUAAAAACUCUAUAAAUACCCUAACUCACCCUCCUUAAUUCAUUCACAUAACUCUUAAAUUCUCUCAAA